GGACGUUUUGGGCGUUUUGGGGUCCCGUGCCCCGCCCAGCUGCUGGCCGUGCCCACGAUGGAGAACGGAGCCAAAGUGGCCACGAGGUUCCUGCGGGAGCUCAGCGACAUCCAGUACGGCCGCGUCCCCAGCCCGUGGGCCCAGCCCGUGUGACCCCCCCGGACGGGGCCGAGACCCCUCCCCAAAAUCCGCCGGCGCCGGGGGGGGAGGGGCCGGGACCCCCCAGAAUGAAC